rnacentral:rRNA from 1 species
UACGGAGGAUGCAAGCGUUAUCCGGAAUGAUUGGGCGUAAAGCGUCCGCAGGUGGCAAUGUAAGUCUGCUGUCAAAGCGUCUGGCUCAACCAGAUAAAGGCAGUGGAAACUACAUAGCUAGAGUAAGGUAGGGGUAGAGGGAAUUCCUGGUGUAGCGGUGAAAUGCGUAGAGAUCAGGAAGAACACCGGUGGCGAAAGCGCUCUGCUGGACCUUAACUGACACUGAGGGACGAAAGCUAGUGGAGCGAAUGGG